rnacentral:rRNA from 1 species
GCCAGGAUGAAGCUCGGGUAAAACCGAGUGGAGGUCCGAACCGCCGUAGGUUGAAAACUACUCGGAUGAGCUGUGGAUAGGGGUGAAAGGCCAAUCAAACCUGGAGAUAGCUGGUUCUCGCCGAAAUAUAUUGAGGUAUAGCCUCAUGUGUUCACCACCGGGGGUAGAGCACUGACUGGGCUAGGGGGCCUACCAGCCUACCGAACCCAAUCAAACUCCGAAUACCGGUGAGUGCAGCAUGGGAGUCAGACUGCGGGUGAUAAGGUCCGUAGUCGAGAGGGAAACAGCCCAGACCGCCAAUUAAGGUCCCUAAAUCAACGCUAAGUGGAAAAGGAAGUCGGAGCACACAGACAACCAGGAGGUUGGCUUAGAAGCAGCCAUCCUUUAAAAAGUGCGUAAUAGCUUACUGGUCGAGUGAGCCCGCGCCGAAAAUGUAUCGGGGCUCAAGCGUUGUACCGAAAUUGCGGAUGUAUAAAUUCUUCGGAAUUCAUACGUGGUAGGCGAGCGUUCCAGUCGCCAUAGAAGCCUGACAGUAAUGACAGGUGGAGGUACUGGAAGUGCUUAUGCGGACAUGAGUAGCGAUAAACAGGGUGAGAAACCCUGUCGCCGUAAACCUAAGGUUUCCUGAGUAAAGCUAAUCUGCUCAGGGUUAGUCGGUCCCUAAGCCGAGGGCGAAAGCCGUAGGUGAUGGAAAACGGGUUAAUAUUCCCGUACCACCUUGAUUCCGUUUGACCGAAGGGGGGACGGAGAAGGGUAGCUGGACUGGACAUUGGUUGUUCCAGUGCAAGCAGGUAGGCUGAUGGCGUAGGAAAAUCCGCGUCGUCGUUAGGCCGAGAUGUGAUGCGACGGGCCGCUUUUAGGCUCGUGUACCAGUGAUCCCAUGCUUCCUAGAAAAGCCUCUAAGGGAGGAUGAUGGGUGACCGUACCGCAAACCAACACAGGUAGGUGGGUAGAGCAUACCAAGGCGCUUGAGAUAACUCUGGUUAAGGAACUCGGCAAAUUGACACCGUAACUUCGGGAGAAGGUGUGCCUUUGGUGGUGACGAAACUUGCUUUCUGAGCUGUCGGAGGUUGCAGAGACCAGGGGGUAGCGACUGUUUACUAAAAACACAGGACUCUGCAAAGUCGUCUAGACGACGUAUAGGGUCUGACGCCUGCCCGGUGCCGGAAGGUUAAGGGAAUCCGUGAGAGCGGUGAACCGAAGCCCCGGUAAACGGCGGCCGUAACUAUAACGGUCCUAAGGUAGCGAAAUUCCUUGUCGGGUAAGUUCCGACCUGCACGAAUGGCGUAACGACUUCCCCACUGUCUCAACCAGGGACUCAGCGAAAUUG